AUUACCGGCUCAAUAUUCGCGCUAAAUUUUAUCUGUGUUUAGGGAAGUAGCCGUUUAUAGAGUAUUAUUAUGAAAUAUUAUUUGAGCCGAUAGUUUAAUAUGUACUGUAAAGGAGUAUUUUAUUGUUUUGUUAAAGCAGUUUUAAUUUAUUGUACCUUUUGUAUCAGGGUUUAUUUAUUUUCAGGAUUUAUAAAUCUAUUUCCCGAACUUAUGGGAGCUUCUGUCAGGUUGAUAGUUAUUAUGUAAAUAUUAUUAAUUAGUCUAUGGAAGGGUUAUAUGCCAUUCAUUCAUAAUUAUCUGGUUCCUGAAGAGAUGAAUUUAAUUCAGGGAGUAAUUGAUAUUUAUUAGUCCUAAUUAUUAAAUAGUUCCAUGUCUACCCAAUGUUAAAGGGGAUUAGCUCUUUAAUAUUUACAUAAAUAUUGAUAAUUUUGGAAUUUUUAUGGGAUUAGUAACGUCCUAUAUUUUAUUUCGUUAUAGUUAUGGUUCUGUUGUUAUUUUAUUUAAAUUAAUUUUGUAUACUUUAUUUGGGUUUUGCAUUUUAUUUUAUAUUGCAAGUAUUAAUGAUAAAAUUAGUAGUAUGGUAAGUUUGAGCAUAGGAACUCGGCAAUAAUGGUGUUCACCUGUUUAACAAAAACAUGGCUUAACUGUUUGUUUAUGUUAGGUCAGGCCUGCUCAAUGAUUUAUAAUUAAAUAGCCGCAGUAUAUUGACUGUGCAAAGGUAGCAUAAUCACUUGUCUUUUAAUUGGAGGCUUGUAUGAACGGUUUGAUGAGGUACCAGCUUUCUUUGUUUAAACUAGUGAAUUUGAUUUUUGGGUUAAAAAGCUUAAAUAGUGUUUAGGGACGAGAAGACCCCAUAGAGUUUUAAUUAUUAAAUAGUUCCAUGUCUGUGGGUAUAGAUAAUUGCAUGGUAUAAUAGAAAUGGUUUUCGUUGGGGUGACUGGGGGAUUUUCUAAACUCCCUUUAUUUAUUUAUCAUUGAUUUAUGUUAAUUAAGAUCCUUUUAUUAGGGAUAAUAAGAUAAAACUACCUUGGGGAUAACAGCGUUAUUUUUCCGGAGAGUUCAAAUCGAUGGAGGAGUUUGCGACCUCGAUGUUGGAUUAAAAUGGGUUUUUGGUGUAGCAGCUAAAUUGACCGGGUCUGUUCGACCCUUGAUAUUUUACAUGAUCUGAGUUCAGACCGGCGUGAGCCAGGUUGGUUUCUAUCUUUAAUAUAUGUUUGUUCAUUUUAGUACGAAAGGACCAGGUGUA
rnacentral:rRNA from 1 species